rnacentral:tRNA from 1 species
GCCCUUGUGGCGGAAUUGGCAGACGCAGUAGACUCAAAAUCUACCGUCCGUAAGGACAUGGGAGUUCGAGUCUCCCCGAGGGCACCA